rnacentral:rRNA from 1 species
AUAAUGUCUACGGACCAAAGGGGGCUUCGGCUCUCGCCUUGAGAUUGGCCCAAGUGGGAUUAGCUAGUGGGUGAGGUAAUGGCUCACCAAGGCAACGAUCCCUAUCUGGUUUGAGAGGAUGAUCAGCCACACUGGAAACUGAGACACGGUCCAGACUCCUACGGGAGGCAGCAGUGGGGAAUAUUGCACAAUGGGCGAAAGCCUGAUGCAGCCAUGCCGCGUGUGUGAAGAAGGCCUUCGGGUUGUAAAGCACUUUCAGUCAGGAGGAAAGGGUGUGAGUUAAUACCUCACAUCUGUGACGUUACUGACAGAAGAAGCACCGGCUAACUCCGUGCCAGCAGCCGCGGUAAUACGGAGGGUGCGAGCGUUAAUCGGAAUUACUGGGCGUAAAGCGUACGCAGGCGGUUUGUUAAGCGAGAUGUGAAAGCCCCGGGCUCAACCUGGGAACUGCAUUUCGAACUGGCAAACUAGAGUGUGAUAGAGGGUGGUAGAAUUUCAGGUGUAGCGGUGAAAUGCGUAGAGAUCUGAAGGAAUACCGAUGGCGAAGGCAGCCACCUGGGUCAACACUGACGCUCAUGUACGAAAGCGUGGGGAGCAAACGGGAUUAGAUACCCCGGUAGUCCACGCCGUAAACGAUGUCUACUAGAAGCUCGGAACCUCGGUUCUGUUUUUCAAAGCUAACGCAUUAAGUAGACCGCCUGGGGAGUACGGCCGCAAGGUUAAAACUCAAAUGAAUUGACGGGGGCCCGCACAAGCGGUGGAGCAUGUGGUUUAACUCGAUGCAACGCGAAGAACCUUACCUACACUUGACAUACAGAGAACUUUCUAGAGAUAGAUUGGUGCCUUCGGGAACU